AUUGAACGCUGGCGGCAUGCCUUACACAUGCAAGUCGAACGGUAACAGGUCUUCGGAUGCUGACGAGUGGCGAACGGGUGAGUAAUACAUCGGAACGUGCCUAGUAGUGGGGGAUAACUACUCGAAAGAGUGGCUAAUACCGCAUGAGAUCUACGGAUGAAAGCAGGGGAUCGCAAGACCUUGUGCUACUAGAGCGGCCGAUGGCAGAUUAGGUAGUUGGUGGGAUAAAAGCUUACCAAGCCGACGAUCUGUAGCUGGUCUGAGAGGACGAUCAGCCACACUGGGACUGAGACACGGCCCAGACUCCUACGGGAGGCAGCAGUGGGGAAUUUUGGACAAUGGGCGCAAGCCUGAUCCAGCAAUGCCGCGUGCAGGAUGAAGGCCUUCGGGUUGUAAACUGCUUUUGUACGGAACGAAAGGCCCUGGGUUAUUACCCUGGGGUCAUGACGGUACCGUAAGAAUAAGCACCGGCUAACUACGUGCCAGCCGCCGCAGUAAAAC
rnacentral:rRNA from 1 species